ensembl:snRNA U2 U2 spliceosomal RNA
AUCGCUUCUCGGCCUUUUGGCUCAGAUCAAGUGUAGUAUCUGUUCUUAUCAGUUUAAUAUCUGAUACGUCCCCCAUCGGGGGACUACAUAUUAAAUGGAUUUUUCGAACAGUCGGAAAAAUGGGGCUUGCUCCGUCCGCUCCACGCAUUCGACCCGGUAUUGCAGUACCUCCGGGAACGGUGCAACACUU